rnacentral:misc_RNA from 1 species
AAGUCGUAACAAGGUUUCCGUAGGUGAACCUGCGGAAGGAUCAUUACAGUAUCUCCGGCGGUCAGCUAGCCUCGCUCCGGCCCACCAGUGGCCGUCGCAGCGGGCGAGCCGGCCGACGAAACUUCACAAACCCUCUGUGCACUUUGAUCGGCGGAGGGGACCCGAGCUAGCGCGAGGGACCCCGAAACCGUUACCCAACAAACCCAUUUGUUUACGAGAAUGCUUUGCGACCGCAUCGGUUGCCUAACAAACGAAACAACUUUCAACAACGGAUCUCUUGGCUCUC